rnacentral:SRP_RNA from 1 species
GCCGGGCGCGGUGGCACGUGCCUGUAGUCCCAGCUAUUUGGAAGGCUGAGGCUGAGGCUGGAGGAUCUCUUGAGUCCAGGAGUUCUGGGCUAUAGUGGUCUAUGCUGAUCGGGUGUCCGCACUAAGUUUGGCAUCAAUAUGGUGACCUCCCGGGAGCAGAAGACCACCAGGUUGCUUAAGGAAGGGUGAACUGGCCCAGGUCAGAAAUGGAGCAGGUCAAAACUCCCGUGCUGAUCAGUAGUGGGAUCACGCCUGUGAAUAGCCACUGCACUCCAGCCUGGGCAACACAGCGAGAUCCCGUCUCU